AACCUUUGAUUAUUAUGCCUCUGGUAAAGUUAUUGCACUGUGCAUUUUUCUAAUUGGUUUCCGUAUGUGUUUAACUUGCACUUUUAUAGUAGCACUUGAAAUGUGUCUUGGUGUUCAAUUCUAUGCAUUAAAACAUCUAGCUUAGCUUGAAUGGUGGAGAGUAGUACACUGGAGCUCAAUCUUUUGCCACUGUACAUGUUAAAAGAACAGUAUAUUCUAAUGUUUGAGUGGACAAAAGCUAGGAUUCCCUCGAGUAAUUACUCAUCACCUUAUCUUUUACUUGCCAAUUGCCAAUGCCAUCCA
rnacentral:misc_RNA from 1 species